AGGGCUUUAGCUCAGUUGGUAGAGCAUCUGUCUCCAAAACCGAGGGUCGUGGGUUCGAGUCCCUCAGCCCCUGCCA
rnacentral:tRNA from 1 species